GCACAGGAAGUAAAGGGGGGCAGGUCCUCCAGAGGAAAAGCCCCUCCCUCCCCUUCCUGCAAGUGGGGGGGGGUUGAUUUCUGCUAUUGCAAAGGCUGCCUUGCUCUCUUCCACGGGGAUCUGAGGAGGCCAGCCAAGCAGAUCAAGCCAAGCUUUAUGAGGAGCUGGGUAUGUUGAGUUGGA